rnacentral:lncRNA from 11 species
UAUAGAAAGUUAAGAUAUUUUAAAAAAUUUUUAGUUUGAUUGGAUGUGUUUCCUUGUAAGUCAGUGACAAAAGGAUUUUUGCAUUCUCAUGUUUCAAAAAGAAUAACAUAAGAAUUGAGAAAAAAAAAUGAAAAGAAUGUUAAGAAUUUCGAUGUUGAAUUAUUUACUAUGAGAUGCUUAUCACGAUUAAUAUUAUAAUAAUUUGAACAACAUUUAAUAUAAAAAUGAAUUAAAAUAUUUUAUAAAAUUCUCGAUUUCAUUUAAAUUGGAUAUAUUUCCUUGUAAGUCAGAAGUGACGGAAGAUUUUUGCACUCUCAUCCUGUUCCAAAAAAAGAAGAACGGAAGAAUGAAACAUUCAUACAAGUUUUGCAACUUGUUGCAAAAUCUCUAAUUAAGAGGAAAAAGUGAAGAGAAUUUUACGAAUUUCGAUGUUGAAUUAUUCAUAGAUAUUCAUCACGAUUAAUAAUUCGAAGAACGCUUAAUAGCCAAUAUCGAAACUUUAUAUUAAAAUAUUUUUAAAAAUUUUCGAUUUCAAUUCGAUUGGAUAUAUCUCGUUGCAAAAUCACUAGAUUUUUGCAGUCUCCUAUUCCAACAAGAAUGAAACAUUCUUACAAAUUUUCUUUUAUCAUAUUAUCAUGCAUAUAUAAAGAAUAUUUAAAAAAAAAAUUUUCGAUUUCAAUUCGAUCGAAUAUAUUUCCUUCCAUAAAAUCAAUAGAUUUUAUUUCAUUCUCCUCCCGUUCCGAAAAACAGGAACAGAGGAACGAAACGUUCUUGCGAAUCUAUUGUGACGUAACACGGUUUCCUGACCCAAUAAUCCCGUGUCCACCGUUGUCCGCAUGGUAAGGUAGAUCAUCAUUGUGUCAUAGAGGAACGAUGGAAUCGAGCUACUUCUACCGCGUUCCGCCAUCGUUGCCACGAAUGCCUCGAUAAUAACAAUCCUUUUCGAAUUCUGGACGUGGCACAGUGCGCCUCGUCGGAAUUGCACGUUUCUGCGGGACUUAACGAUAUAAAAGGCUCAUUAUUCGUAACGAGCAAAUAAACCAUUUCCUUUGCGGAGGUUCUCUUCAAAAAUUGUAUAAUAAUAAUAAUAAUAAUAAUGUAAGGAGAAUCCGUGCAUUAUCCACGAUGAUGUUCCAUGUUUCUAUUUCGAAAUCGUGGUGUAAACGUUACGAUAGACGAAACGAUUAAGUUAUAUUGCUGGUAUAUCGAUCGAUUAUAUUUUUCAAAAUGGAUUACAUCGAAAUACUGGUUAUUAAGACGAUGAGUUUUUUUUUUUGGUCCUUUUUCAUCAAUUUAUAAUUUUCUCCUUAAAAACCAUCGAUUCUCUUAGACACGUUUUACGAUUGUAUUGUAUCAAUCUGAAAUUGAAAUAUCUGAUAAUUCGAUCGAAUAAAAUAUAUAUCGUUAAAAGGGAUAAAGUGUUUUAUUUUUUUUUUUCUUUGCAAUUGAAAUAAUCGAGGAUACAUUGUUAUUCGAUAUUUUUAUCCAAUGCGUCAGAAGAUUGUAGGAAGUCUACGCCGCUUCCUGAGGAAUACGGUCACGAGAAAUUGUGGUUUUUGAAAAGAAAAAAAAAAAAAAAAAAAAAAGAAAAAAAAAACUCGAUGAAACCACAAGCCGCACGGAUUGUCCUUGAUAACCGGCUAAAUGUAUUUCAGUGAAAUACUUUCCAUUAAUGAUUUCACUUAAAAGGGGCAAUAAAACGUUCUGUCCGUGGGAAAUAUUUGCCCGAUGAAACGAAUCAUGUUUCUAGGACAUUUGUAACGAUUCUAUCUACUCUUCGACACAGAAAGAUUAAGAAAUCAUAAAAAAAAAAAAUCGUAUCUUUCGUAUCCUUCUUCAUUCUAUAAAUACACGAAACAAUCGAACAAACGCAUGACGAAGAAAUUUUAUUCUUUGCAUCUCUUUACAAUUAUCGAAACGCGACUUCGAUGGCAUUUCAAUGGACGCGGCGACGGGUGGAAUACAGAAAAAGCGCGGAAGAUCAACUCGGGGUAAGGAUACGCACGCGCUAUUGCUUCGUCGAUACGGAAACUCGCAUGAAUCAGCGUCCGAUUACUCGUAACGCCGUUAAUAACGCACGGUUUUCCUCGUGGGCGGUUUCCUUCCCCGAAUAAUCGAGGCAGAAAGUCGAAUACUUUUGAUAACGCGACUGGUUGGACCGAAUUUUAAUGCAAUCUUAACAAUUUCAUCGUCGAAGUUAUCCACCGAGUUCAAUGACCGACCGAGAAGAGAUACGACGAAUUUUCGAAAAAUCAGCUGAUUCGAAUCGAUGGUUCACAAAAGUGAUUACGUGUGGAUGAUAUAAAAGGUAUACUUAUGAAUUCACCUUCUAUCUUCGUAACAAUGUGCGAAGACACGAUCGAAUGGUUCGUCAUCGAGACAUUAGACGGUGUCGAUAUUCCCGUGCCGUGCGACCGGAACAAUGAAGACGCAGCGAGUACAAUGCGAGUCACGGCGAUCACGUUGGCCGCGCAUGGAUGUGUCUCAGGCUGCGAUGACACAAAGACGAAAAGGCGGAAACAUCGGAGACGGAUGAUAAGAGAGAAGGAAGAAGGAGGAAGAAUGAGAAGGAGGGGGAAGGGAGAAUAGGAAAAAGAAGAUGAAACAAACGAAACAAAGCAGAGGGUAGUGCGCGCAUGAUUUACGUACACGAGCAAUAGACUGUAUAAUUUAUCGAUCGAUCGAAAGCGCAUGCGCCGCUGCCUGCGCGCAUACACGAUUAUGCAUGCGCGACUGCCGAACAGUGCACGAGUACACGCCGCGCAAUCGAUCACUGUCCACCUCGUUCGAUGACGUUAAUGAGGUUGAUCGGUAUUUAACGAUACUUUUAGCCUCUUGGCCAUUGCAGCCGAUUAUAUGCGCCGUUUGUUUAUGCAAUGGGAGAACGAUCGAGCCACGGAUUGAGACGUUGUGCGUGAAGAUUCGUGAGUAUAGAAAAGAUCGAAACGAAAAUAAACGAAUUUUUCAACGAACGUAUUUUUGCGAUUGGGUAUGAUUUUCCAAUCGAAUCGAAGAGAAAAUAAAAAUUGAUUCGGGAUUACGGACGUAUAAGGAUAUCUUCCCGACCGAGGACAUCUAUCGGUUACAAGGCGCAACGAGUUUAAACAACGAGCCGAAUGGCCAACCUGUCGUGUAAUGAAUCGUGCACGAUUUUCGUUAUCCCGUGAAAAUAAGACGUGCGUG